UAAACUGGGAUUAGAUACCCCACUAUGCUCAGCUAUAAACCCAGAUAUUUAAUACACAAAAAUAUCCGCCAGAGAACUACGAGCAAAAUGCUUAAAACUCUAAGGACUUGACGGUACCUUAAACCCUCCUAGAGGAGCCUGUUCUAUAAUCGAUAAUCCACGAUCUACCUCACCAUCUCUUGCCAGUACCGCCUAUAUACCGCCGUCACCAGCCUACCCUAUGAAGGACAUAAAAGUAAGCAAAACAACAAAACAGCUAACAAGUCAGGUCAAGGUGUAGCUUACUGAGAUGGAAGAAAUGGGCUACAUUUUCUAAACUAGAAAUAUUUUACGGAAAGAACUAUGAAACAAGUCUUAUAAGUAGGAUUUAGCAGUAAAUAAGGAUCAGAAUGCCCUAUUUAAGCCGGCCCUAAGGCACGCACACACCGCCG
rnacentral:rRNA from 1 species